CGACUGUACAACCAUCAAGAUUAAUUGUCAGAUUCAACAGAAGAUCUCUUUGUUUCUUGGGACCUAGAACAAGCAUCUCUGUUUUGUCCUAGGUUAAAAGUAGAAAAUUUGUCAGUCAUCAUUCAGGUAGGUCCUAGCCAGUCAUCAUUCAGAUAAGUCCUCCUAGCCAGUCAUCAUUCAGGUAGGUCCUCCUAGUCAGUCAUCAUUCAGGUAGGUCCUCCAAGUCAGUCAUCAAUUUGGUAGUUCCUCAUAGUCAGUCAUCAUUCAGAUAGGUCUUAGCCAGUCAUCAUUCAGGUAAGUCCUCCUAGCCAGUCAUCAGGUAGGUCCUCCAAGUCAGUCAUCAUUCAACCAGUAAUCAUUCAGGUAGGUCCUCCUAGUCAGUCAUCAUUCAGGUAGGUCCUCCUAGUCAAUCAUUUAGGUAGGUCCUCCUAGUCAGUCAUCAUUUUGGUAGUUCCCUUUUAGUCAGUCAUCAUUCAGGUAGGUCCUAUCCAAUCAUCAUUCAGGUAGGUCCUCCUAGUCAGUCAUCAUUCAGGUAGGUCCUCCUAGUCAGUCAUCAUUCAGGUAAGGUCCUCCUAUUCAAUCAUUUAGGUAGGUCCUCCGAUUCAGUCAUCAUUCAGGUAGGUCCUCCUAGUCAGUCAUCAUUCAGGUAGGUCCUAUCCAGUCAUCAUUCAACCAGUCAUCAUUCAGGUAGGUCCUCCUAGUCAGUCAUCAUUCAGGUAUGUCCUCCUAGUCAGUCAUCAUUCAGGUAGGUCCUCCUAGUCAAUCAUUUAGGUAGGUCCUCCUAGUCAGUCAUCAUGUUGGUAGUUCCUCCUAGUAAGUCAUCAUUCAAGUAGGUCCUCAUAGUCAGUCAUCAUUCAUGUAGGACCCUAGCCAGUCAUCAUUCAGGUAGGUACUAACCAGUCAUCAUUCAGGUGGGCCAUAGUCAGCCAUCAUUCAGGUGGGUCCUCCUAGCCAGUCAUCAUUCAGGUAGGUCCUCUUAGUCAGUCAGCAUUCAGGUAGUUCCUAGUCAGUCAUCAUUCAGGUACGCCCUAGUCAGUCAUCAUUCAGGUAGGUCCUCCUAGUCAUUCAUCAUUCAGGUAGGUCCUCCUAGUCAUUCAUCAUUCAAGUAGGUCCUAGUCAGUCAUAAUUCAGGUAGGCCCUAGUCAGUCAUCAUUCUCGUAGGUCCUCCUAGUCAGUUAUCAUUCAGGUAUAUCCUAGCCAGUCAUCAUUCAGGUAGGUACUAACCAGUAAUCAUUCAGGUAGGCCAUAGUCAGUCAUCAUUCAGUUAGGCCAUAGUCAGUAAUCAUUUAGGUAGGCCAUAGUCAGUCAUCAGUCAGGUAAAUCCUCCUAGCCAGUCAUUGUUCAGGUAGGUCCUCCUAGCCAGUCAUCAUGCAGGUAGGUCCUCCUAGCCAGUCAUCAUUCAGGUAGGUCCUCAUAGUCAGUCAUCAUUCAGGUAGGCCAUAGUCACUCGUCUUUCAGGUAGGUCAUAGUCAGUCACAGUGAGGAGAGGGCCUUGCUCUGUUUGUCUUUAGAAGGAUCUUAUCCUUCGUCUAGUUGUGUCUAGGGUUGCAAAAUUCCAAGAACUUUAAAUAAAUUCCCUGGUUUUCCCAAAAUCACAGUUGGAGGAUCCCAGAACCAGGAGGAAAUAAGCAGGAAAUCCGGAACCCUCCAACCAGGAUUUCUGGAAAACUAGGGAAUUUAUUGACAGUUCCCUGAAUUUUGUAACCCUAGUUGUGUCCCAAUAACUGUUCUUCAGAAGGAUGUCUCCACCAAAAUGUAUAAUAUUCCCUUGACCUUGUCCCUCCAUACACUCCCCGUCCUAUCCUAGGUCUCCCCCUGUCUAACUUAACUAGUAUUACAGAGUGUAGAAUACCACAUCAUUCAUUCCCCAAUUGAUAAGACUUUUGUAUUCUGUUUUUUGUCUUAUAUCUAGAAUA
rnacentral:lncRNA from 1 species